rnacentral:rRNA from 1 species
UACGGGGGGGGUUAGUGUUAUUCAUCUUUACUGGGUGUAAAGGGCGUGUAGGCGGUUUUAUUAAUUUUAAAUUAGAAUAAUCUAAACUUAAUUUAGAAACUAAUUUUUAUACUAUUAAACUAGAGGUUAAAAGAAGAAAGCUAUACUUCUCAGAAAAAGGUGAAAUUUGUCCGAACUGGGGGGGAUAACCAAGAAGCGAAAGCGGCUUUCUAUUAUAAUUCUGACGCUUAGGCGCAAAAGCUUGGGUUUCAAACGGG